UACGUAGGGGGCAAGCGUUGUCCGGAUUUACUGGGCGUAAAGAGCGCGUAGGCGGAAGCUUAAGCGUGGCCUGAAAGCCCCCGGCUCAACCGGGGAGGGUGGCUGCGAACUGGGUUUCUUGAGGGCGACAGAGGAGAGUGGAAUUCCUGGUGUAGCGGUGAAAUGCGUAGAUACCAUCCAGAACACCGAUUGCGAAGGCAGUCUGCUAAACUGUAACUGACGCUGAGGCACGAAAGCGUGGGGAUCGAACAGG
rnacentral:rRNA from 1 species